UACGAAGGGGGCUAGCGUUGUUCGGAAUUACUGGGCGUAAAGCGCACGUAGGCGGAAUGUUAAGUCAGGGGUGAAAUCCCGGGGCUCAACCCCGGAACUGCCUUUGAUACUGGCAUUCUCGAGUCCGGAAGAGGUGAGUGGAAUUCCGAGUGUAGAGGUGAAAUUCGUAGAUAUUCGCAAGAACACCAGUGGCGAAGGCGGCUCACUGGCCCGAUACUGACGCUGAGGCACGAAGGUCAGGGGAGACAAACGGGG
rnacentral:rRNA from 1 species